AAUGCUGUAUUUAAACCUGUGAUGGGAUUUUCCCCAUUCUUGGUUAUGUUGUAGUGCAAAAGAAUCUCUGGCUCUUUGUGUUGCACAGCUGAUAUGUGGCAUUCAGUUGUUGCUGUAUAGAUCCAGGAACAUGG